AUGGUACUCCCUCCGUCCAAAAAAGCUUGUCUCUCAAAUGGAUGUAUCUAGCACCAAAUUAGUAUUAGAUACAUCCAUUUGAAGGACAAGCUUGGGACAAGCUUUUCCGGACGGACGGAGUAGUAA
rfam:Triticum aestivum genome assembly, contig: Triticum_aestivum_CS42_TGACv1_scaffold_457704_5DS